rnacentral:rRNA from 1 species
ACGCACGCUGGCGGCGUGCUUCACCCCUGCAAGUCGCACGGAAAGGCCCUGCUUUUGUGGGGUGCUCGAGUGGCGAACGGGUGAGUAACACGUGAGUAACCUGCCCUUGACUUUGGGAUAACUUCAGGAAACUGGGGCUAAUACCGGAUAGGAGCUCCUGCUGCAUGGUGGGGGUUGGAAAGUUUCGGCGGUUGGGGAUGGACUCGCGGCUUAUCAGCUUGUUGGUGGGGUAGUGGCUUACCAAGGCUUUGACGGGUAGCCGGCCUGAGAGGGUGGCCGGCCACAUUGGGACUGAGAUACGGCCCAGACUCCUACGGGAGGCAGCAGUGGGGAAUAUUGCACAAUGGGCGGAAGCCUGAUGCAGCAACGCCGCGUGCGGGAUGACGGCCUUCGGGUUGUAAACCGCUUUCGCCUGUGACGAAGCGUGAGUGACGGUAAUGGGUAAAGAAGCACCGGCUAACUACGUG